UUUUUUGUUUUCUCGGGUUCUGUAUUUUUGCCAUUUUGCUUUUGCUUUUCUUUUUUCUUUGAUUUUGUCGAGUAUUUCUUGCGGUAUUGUUAUUGUUUGUCUGCUGGUUGGUUCGGGAGUAGGGUUGCUUAGUGUCGAAUCUUGUUAUAUUGUUUAUUGUUCUAGUUUGAUGUCCAAUUUUAGCUAACUCAUCGCUUAGUUUAUGUACGUUGGUUUUAGGAUGCAAUCCUCUUAUGACAAUUUUAUAGCUCCUUUCAGUUUUA
rnacentral:misc_RNA from 1 species